UACGUAGGGGGCAAGCGUUGUCCGGAAUCAUUGGGCGUAAAGAGCGUGUAGGCGGUCCGGUAAGUCGGCUGUGAAAGUCCAGGGCUCAACCCUGGGAUGCCGGUCGAUACUGCCGGACUAGAGUUCGGAAGAGGCGAGUGGAAUUCCCGGUGUAGCGGUGAAAUGACGCAGAUAUCGGGAGGAACACCUAUGGCGAAGGCAGCUCGCUGGGACGUUACUGACGCUGGAGACGCGAAAGCGUGGGGAGCGAACAGG
rnacentral:rRNA from 1 species